rnacentral:rRNA from 1 species
CAGUCGCCGCGGGAAUACGUAGGUGGCAAGCGUUGUCCGGAAUUAUUGGGCGUAAAGGGCUCGCAGGCGGUUUCUUAAGUCUGAUGUGAAAGCCCCCGGCUCAACCGGGGAGGGUCAUUGGAAACUGGGAACCUUGAGUGCAGAAGAGGAGAGUGGAAUUCCACGUGUAGCGGUGAAAUGCGUAGAGAUGUGGAGGAACACCAGUGGCGAAGGCGACUCUCUGGUCUGUAGCUGACGCUGAGGAGCGAAAGCGUGGGGAGCGAACAGGAUUAGAUACCCCUGUAGUCCCUGUCUCUUAUAC